CUCUUAACCCAAUAAAAAAAUAAACUCACAUUAACGUCCUUGUAAAUACACGAAUUUUGUAAGGACAUUUUAUUACUUUUUUCCCUAAUAUACACAAGCAUUUCUCAUAAUCGGUACAUUGCCAACAUGUGACUCUUAAAUCAUAUAUUUGAAUACCAGCUGUUGAAUGAGCUAGGCAAAGAUCCGUAUGUCAAGUACCUCGGCCAGGAAGCCUAGGCAGGAGUUUCGAAAGUCCUCACACUGUCGGUUGUAGAAGGCCUCCAUUAGAUCAUGAUGAAACAUACUUCAAGUUGCUCCAUUGCAAAAUGUAAGCCCUUAGCGGGCAUUUCUCGGAACGAGGAAUUCAAACUCCAUUUCUCCUACAAGGUACAACGAGAAAAACACGGAUUAGAUCAUGAUGAAACAUAGAAAUAUAACAUGUAAUAAAUCGAACUCAUGCCUGUAGUGAGGUGAACUGUUGAGAAAAACUGACAUUAAUCGUUGGUAUGGAUAGUUCAUCUGUUGAUACCGACGGUUAAUCUCGACAUAUGGAAGCUCUAAGGGCCUCUCGAGUAAGGUAGAGACAUCAAUAGAUCACCAUUAUCUAGAGUACUCUGAAGUCAAUUUACAAGCAAUAAGUUGGAAAGACAUUCCACUACAAGGAGCGGAAUUAUACAUUGGCAAGAAAUGCACUAGUUGUCUAUCUUAUCUUUUCGGUAAUUGAAUUUGCACCUAAUAACAAGCAUACAUCUUUGAGUCUUCAGGAAAUACUAGAGCAUGUUUAACACACAUAAAGAUAUGUGUUAAUCCUUGCCAACAUGCUAUUGUUUUAUUAAAUCAUUGUAAUAGGUAUUGACAGGAGUUGGAAUACGAGCUAAAAUCUCAAUGAAAGAAUCAACUCUUAUUGCCGAUAAACUAUUAUUUCCCCGAAG
rnacentral:lncRNA from 1 species